rnacentral:rRNA from 1 species
AGAGUUUGAUCCUGGCUCAGAGCGAACGCUGGCGGCGUGCUUAACACAUGCAAGUCGAACGCGCAGCAUUCUGUAGCAAUACGGGGUGUGGGCGCGUGGCGAACGGGUGCGUAACACGUGGAUAACCUUCCUUCAGGUGGGGAAUAACCCAGUGAAAAUUGGGCUAAUACCGCAUAACAUGACGAUGGCACAUGCUGUUGUCUUCAAAGGCGCAAGCCGCCAGAAGAGGGAUCCGCGGCCGAUUAGCUUGUUGGCGAGGUAAUGGCUCACCAAGGCAUUGAUCGGUAGCCGGACUGAGAGGUUGACCGGCCACACUGGAACUGAGACACGGUCCAGACUCCUACGGGAGGCAGCAGUGGGGAAUCUUGCACAAUGGACGAAAGUCUGAUGCAGCAACGCCGCGUGGGGGAUGAAGCUUCUCGGAGUGUAAACCCCUUUCGACCCGGAAGAAUGCCCGCAAGGGCUUGACGGUACGGGUAUAAGAAGCCCCGGCUAACUACGUGCCAGCAGCCGCGGUAAUACGUAGGGGGCCAGCGUUGCUCGGAAUUACUGGGCGUAAAGGGUCCGUAGGCGGUGCGGCAAGUCGAGAGUGAAAUCCCUAGGCUUAACCUAGGGGCUGCUAGCGAAACUGCCGUGCUAGAGUGUGAGAGAGGCGAGUGGAAUUACGGGUGUAGCGGUGAAAUGCGUAGAUAUCCGUAGGAACAUCCGAGGCGAAAGCGGCUCGCUGGAUCACAACUGACGCUGAGAGACGAAAGCUAGGGGAGCAAACAGGAUUAGAUACCCUGGUAGUC